rnacentral:rRNA from 1 species
GACGAACGCUGGCGGCGUGCUUAACACUUGCAAGUCGAACGGAAAGGCCCUGCUUGCCGGGUACUCGAGUGGCGAACGGGUGAGUAACACGUGGGUGAUCUGCCCUGCACUUCGGGAUAAGCCUGGGAAACUGGGUCUAAUACCGGAUAGGAGCCAUUUUUAGUGUGAUGGUUGGAAAGUUUUUUCGGUGUAGGAUGAGCUCGCGGCCUAUCAGCUUGUUGGUGGGGUAAUGGCCUACCAAGGCGGCGACGGGUAGCCGGCCUGAGAGGGUGGACGGCCACAUUGGGACUGAGAUACGGCCCAGACUCCUACGGGAGGCAGCAGUGGGGAAUAUUGCACAAUGGGCGCAAGCCUGAUGCAGCGACGCCGCGUGGGGGAUGACGGCCUUCGGGUUGUAAACUCCUUUCGCUAGGGACGAAGCUUUUUGUGACGGUACCUAGAUAAGAAGCACCGGCUAACUACGUG